rnacentral:rRNA from 1 species
UACGUGAGGGUGCGAGCGUUGUCCGGAAUUACUGGGCGUAAAGAGCUCGUAGGUGGUUUGUCGCGUUGUUCGUGAAACUCAACAGCUUAACUGUGGGCGUGCGGGCGAUACGGGCAGACUGGAGUACUGGCAGGGGAGACUGGAAUUCCUGGUGUAGCGGUGGAAUGCGACAGAUAGUCAGGAGGAACACCGGUGGCGAAGGCGGCGAGCUGGCCUGUACCUGACGCUGGAGGCGCGACAGCGUGGGGAGCAAACAGG